CCUACGGGAGGCAGCAGUGGGGGAUAUUGCACAAUGGGGGAAACCCUGAUGCAGCGACGCCGCGUGGGUGAAGAAGCGCCUCGGCGCGUAAAGCCCUGUCAGCAGGGAAGAAAACGACGGUACCUGAAGAAGAAGCCCCGGCUAACUACGUGCCAGCAGCCGCGGUAAUACGUAGGGGGCAAGCGUUAUCCGGAUUUACUGGGUGUAAAGGGGGCGCAGACGGCGAUGCAAGCCAGGAGUGAAAGCCCGGGGCCCAACCUCGGGACUGCUCUUGGAACUGCGUGGCGAGAGUGCAGGAGGGGCAGGCGGAAUUCCUGGUGUAGCGGUGAAAUGCGUAGAUAUCAGGAGGAACACCGGGGGCGAAGGCGGCCUGCUGGACUGCAACUGACGUUGAGGCCCGAAAGCGUGGGGAGCAAACAGGAUUAGAUACCCGUGUAGUC
rnacentral:rRNA from 1 species